GAGAGGGUGGCAGAGGUGAUUUGUGGAGAACUUGGCUAUCCUGGGUUCAAGGAGAUCUCGUACGAGAACUCCACAUGUGCUUCAGAUCAAGACAACUGUACAAGAGCUCCAACUUGCAACCCUUCUACAUAUCGUCUGGUGGAUUGCACAGCUGAGCAUUCAAUGUGCUCGUCUGAGAAGGUCGUCAAAAUAAUAUGUCAUGAGCCCGGAUAUAAAGGAUGCUAUAAACUCGACACCAAGACAUUACAGAACGUCUCCAAUUUUAAGUUCUCUUCGACUGCACAUUGUCUUUAUUUGUGUAAAACCCACGAUAUCCUAGCUAUCGCUAUUAUGAAUCAAACGGAUUGUGUUUGUUCCC